CUUGCACUUGGGGAUUAGUGGCGAACGGGUGAGUAACACGUGAGUAACCUGCCCUGGACUCUGGGAUAACCCCGAGAAAUCGGAGCUAAUACCGGAUAGGACCCUUCACCGCAUGGUGCGGGGUGGAAAGUUUUUCGGUCUGGGAUGGACUCGCGGCCUAUCAGCUUGUUGGUGAGGUAAUGGCUCACCAAGGCGUCGACGGGUAGCCGGCCUGAGAGGGUGACCGGCCACACUGGGACUGAGACACGGCCCAGACUCCUACGGGAGGCAGCAGUGGGGAAUAUUGCACAAUGGGCGAAAGCCUGAUGCAGCAACGCCGCGUGCGGGAUGACGGCCUUCGGGUUGUAAACCGCUUUUAGUAAGGAAGAAGCCGCAAGGUGACGGUACUUGCAGAAAAAGGACCGGCUAACUACGUGCCAGCAGCCGCGGUAAUACGUAGGGUCCGAGCGUUGUCCGGAAUUAUUGGGCGUAAAGAGCUCGUAGGCGGUUUGUCGCGUCUGCUGUGAAAACUAGAGGCUCAACCUCUAGCCUGCAGUGGGUACGGGCAGACUUGAGUGGUGUA
rnacentral:rRNA from 1 species